rnacentral:rRNA from 1 species
CCUACGGGAGGCAGCAGUGGGGAAUAUUGGACAAUGGGCGAAAGCCUGAUCCAGCCAUGCCGCGUGUGUGAAGAAGGCCUUCGGGUUGUAAAGCACUUUCAGUGGGGAAGAAAGCCUUGGGGCUAAUACCCUCGAGGAAGGACAUCACCCACAGAAGAAGCACCGGCUAACUCCGUGCCAGCAGCCGCGGUAAUACGGAGGGUGCGAGCGUUAAUCGGAAUUACUGGGCGUAAAGCGCGCGUAGGCGGUCUGAUAAGCCGGUUGUGAAAGCCCCGGGCUCAACCUGGGAACGGCAUCCGGAACUGUCAGGCUAGAGUGCAGGAGAGGAAGGUAGAAUUCCCGGUGUAGCGGUGAAAUGCGUAGAGAUCGGGAGGAGUACCAGUGGCGAAGGCGGCCUUCUGGACUGACACUGACGCUGAGGUGCGAAAGCGUGGGUAGCAAACAGGAUUAGAUACCCUUGUAGUC